CGCUGGCGGUAGGCUUAACACAUGCAAGUCGUGCGAGAAAAUAUCUUCGGAUAUGAGUAGAGCGGCGGACGGGUGAGUAACGCGUAGGAAUCUACCUAGUAGAAGGGGAUAGCCCGGGGAAACUCGGAUUAAUACCGUAUACCUCCUUUGGGAGAAAGAAGGCCUCUCUUUGAAGCUUUCGCUAUUAGAUGAGCCUGCGUAAGAUUAGCUUGUUGGUGAGGUAAAGGCUCACCAAGGCGACGAUCUUUAGCGGGUCUGAGAGGACGAUCCGCCACAUUGGGACUGAGACACGGCCCAGACUCCUACGGGAGGCAGCAGUGGGGAAUAUUGGACAAUGGGCGCAAGCCUGAUCCAGCCAUACCGCGUGUGUGAAGAAGGCCCUAGGGUUGUAAAGCACUUUAAGUUGGGAAGAAAAGUUAUUGGUUAAUACCCAAUAACCGUGACAUUACCAUCAGAAUAAGGACCGGCUAAUUCCGUGCCAGCAGCCGCGGUAAUACGGAAGGUCCAAGCGUUAAUCGGAAUUACUGGGCGUAAAGCGCGCGUAGGUGGUUUAUUAAGUUGGAUGUGAAAUCCCCGGGCUCAACCUGGGAACUGCAUCCAAAACUGAUUCACUAGAGUACGAUAGAGGGAGGUAGAAUUCACAGUGUAGCGGUGGAAUGCGUAGAUAUUGUGAAGAAUACCAAUGGCGAAGGCAGCCUCCUGGAUCUGUACUGACACUAAGGUGCGAAAGCGUGGGUAGCGAACAGGAUUAGAUACCCUGGUAGUCCACGCCGUAAACGAUGUCAACUAGCUGUUGGAGAACUAUGUUCUUCAGUGGCGCAGCUAACGUAGUAAGUUGACCGCCUGGGGAGUACGGCCGC
rnacentral:rRNA from 1 species